GACGAACGCUGGCGGCGUGCUUAACACAUGCAAGUCGAACGGAAAGGCCCUGCUUUUGUGGGGUGCUCGAGUGGCGAACGGGUGAGUAACACGUGAGUAACCUGCCCUUGACUUUGGGAUAACUUCAGGAAACUGGGGCUAAUACCGGAUAGGAGCUCCUGCUGCAUGGUGGGGGUUGGAAAGUUUCGGCGGUUGGGGAUGGACUCGCGGCUUAUCAGCUUGUUGGUGGGGUAGUGGCUUACCAAGGCUUUGACGGGUAGCCGGCCUGAGAGGGUGACCGGCCACAUUGGGACUGAGAUAGGGCCCAGACUCCUACGGGAGGCAGCAGUGGGGAAUAUUGCACAAUGGGCGGAAGCGUGAUGCAGCAACGCCGCGUGCGGGAUGACGGCCUUCGGGUUGUAAACCGCUUUCGCCGGUGACGAAGCGUGAGUGACGGUAAUGGGUAAAGAAGCACCGGCUAACUACGUG
rnacentral:rRNA from 1 species